rfam:Alligator sinensis unplaced genomic scaffold scaffold222_1, whole genome shotgun sequence
UCAGCAUCUCAGUUUUUUUUGGCUAAGACCAAAUGUAGCAGCAUUUUUGGCACCAAAGGGAGGGUGCCAGGGCUUGCUCUCGCCCUCCAAGUGCUUGCCUGGUAUUGCAGUAUCUCCAGGCCCGGUACUAGUUCC